CCUACGGGAGGCAGCAGUGGGGAAUAUUAGGCAAUGGGCGCAAGCCUGACCCAGCAACGCCGCGUGAAGGAAGAAGGCUUUCGGGUUGUAAACUUCUUUUCUCAGGGACGAAGCAAGUGACGGUACCUGAGGAAUAAGCCACGGCUAACUACGUGCCAGCAGCCGCGGUAAUACGUAGGUGGCGAGCGUUAUCCGGAUUCACUGGGUGUAAAGGGAGCGUAGACGGCCGUGCAAGCCAGGAGUGAAAGCCCGGGGCCCAACCCCGGGACUGCUCUUGGAACUGUGCGGCUAGAGUGCGGGAGGGGCAGGCGGAAUUCCUGGUGUAGCGGUGAAAUGCGUAGAUAUCAGGAGGAACACCGGCGGCGAAGGCGGCCUGCUGGACCGCGACUGACGUUGAGGCUCGAAAGCGUGGGGAGCGAACAGGAUUAGAUACCCGUGUAGUC
rnacentral:rRNA from 1 species